AANCCAUUCGGGGGUAANCGGMCAGAGCCCGUGAAUCCGGGCGACGGAAUUCAGAAUCGACGAUGUUCGCGCGUCGUCGGUUUGAUAUUUCCGUCGCCGUGACAAUGUACGGACGUCGCGACCCGUUCGGUGUCGGUCCGAGGAGACGUGUAAAAGUUCGCCGACGUUGCGUCCAUUCGUGGGUGCGCGUCGACGAGUGCGCGUUCUUGUUUUCUGGCCGACUCGCCGGACGGUACGCGUAACGGUGGCCGCGGCGACCUUUUUUCGAGCGUCGUCGUCGGUACCGGUCUGCGACGAAUCUUCGGGCYUCUUUCCNA
rnacentral:rRNA from 1 species